rnacentral:rRNA from 1 species
GAUGAACGCUGGCGGCGUGCCUAAUACAUGCAAGUCGAGCGAACAGACGAGGAGCUUGCUCCUCUGACGUUAGCGGCGGACGGGUGAGUAACACGUGGAUAACCUACCUAUAAGACUGGGAUAGCUUCGGGAAACCGGAGCUAAUACCGGAUAACAUGUUGAACCGCAUGGUUCAACAGUGAAAGACGGUCUUGCUGUCACUUAUAGAUGGAUCCGCGCCGCAUUAGCUAGUUGGUAAGGUAACGGCUUACCAAGGCAACGAUGCGUAGCCGACCUGAGAGGGUGAUCGGCCACACUGGAACUGAGACACGGUCCAGACUCCUACGGGAGGCAGCAGUAGGGAAUCUUCCGCAAUGGGCGAAAGCCUGACGGAGCAACGCCGCGUGAGUGAUGAAGGUCUUCGGAUCGUAAAACUCUGUUAUUAGGGAAGAACAAAUGUGUAAGUAACUAUGCACGUCUUGACGGUACCUAAUCAGAAAGCCACGGCUAACUACGUG